UGAUGAAACCGAAUCCCAUUUCACCGACGACUAGCCACGGCGAUGCUGUCGUAAACUACACCAUCUUUCGCCUGA